rnacentral:rRNA from 1 species
CCUACGGGUGGCAGCAGUCGAGAAUCAUUCACAAUGGGGGAAACCCUGAUGGUGCGACGCCGCGUGGGGGAAUGAAGGUCUUCGGAUUGUAAACCCCUGUCAUGUGGGAGCAAAUUAAAAAGAUAGUACCACAAGAGGAAGAGACGGCUAACUCUGUGCCAGCAGCCGCGGUAAUACAGAGGUCUCAAGCGUUGUUCGGAAUCACUGGGCGUAAAGCGUGCGUAGGCGGUUUCGUAAGUCGGGUGUGAAAGGUGCGGGCUCAACCCGCGGACGGCACAUGAUACUGCGAGACUAGAGUAAUGGAGUGGGAACCGGAAUUCUCGGUGUAGCAGUGAAAUGCGUAGAUAUCGAGAGGAACACUCGUGGCGAAGGCGGGUUCCUGGACAUUAACUGACGCUGAGGCACGAAGGCCAGGGGAGCGAAAGGGAUUAGAUACCCGGGUAGUC